UGCGGAAUCCCGUGAACCAUCGAGUCUUUGAAUGAAAGUUGCGCCCAGAGCCGUCAGGUCGAGGGCAUGCCUGCCUAGGCGUCAUGCCUCACAUCGCUCCAAUGUAGCCGGCAUUGACCGCGGUGCCGCAAGGCUCGUGCGUGGAUCGGGCAGAGGAUGCAGAGAGUGGCCUUCCAUGCGCUCUGCGGUAGGCUCAAGUGCUCGACCCGGUGCAUGGCUAGGCACGAUGGGUGGUGGAAGGCUGACCGUGCCCCUGGCGCGCAUGCAUAUCAGAAUCGGCGCGUCGUGCUCCAUGCAUUCGUAGUGGUAGGGCCAAAAGGAAAGAACCCUAUACGGGCGUCCCGUCAUCCAAAGUGAAGGCGACGCUUCGACUGCGACCCCAGGUUAGGCGGGGCCACCCGCUGUGUUUAAGCAUAUCAAUAAGCGGAGGAGAAGAAACUUACGCGGAUUCCCCUAGUAACGGUGAGCGAACCGGGAAUAGCCCAGUUUGAAAAUCGGAUGGCCGUGCCUUUCGA
rnacentral:rRNA from 1 species